CCCCCACCCCACAUGUCUCAUCUUCUUCAUCUCUCUUCUAGUCUUCUUUCUCAUCUCCAGCAUCUCUCUUGAUCUCUUGGUUCUGCUUCAUCUUCCCAGAAGCCACAUCUCACCUCUUCUUCACCCACUUCUCAAAAUCCAAACCCCCAACAAAGCUAAACCCUUAUUCAUCUCCACGCUCUUCUCCUCCCCCAAAUCCUCUCUCUCAAUCUCAGAGCCCAUCCCAUCUCGCCUCUCGAAGAGCGAUACCCAACUCGAAAUCCCAGUCAAGAAGCUCUUCGUGCCGCCACAGAUGCAAUCUGAUCGCGAAUCGAAUUGUCAAGUUUGUUUUUGAAUCAUGGUCAUCGAUUCCGGAUUCGAGUUUCAUGAUGGAGAACAAAGCGAGUUGCUUACAGAGUUACAGCAUACACCAGAGGAGGAAAAUUCCAGAAUCUAGCGAGGAAAAAAAAAUUCUAGAAUCCAGCGCCUAGCGCCCAGCCCUGGCGCCUAGACCGCCUAACCUCCGCCUAGACCGACUAGGCGGCCGCCGAGAAACCAAACGCCCAACUCAAUCGACUAGCCCGAAAUUGGAUCGGACACCCUGCGCCUAGCGCCUAGAUGCCGCCUAGGCGGGCACCUAGCCCGUUUUUUAGAACCUUGCUUUCUAGAAAAGUGCAUCUGGUGAUGAUAAAGCUUCAUGUAAAAAAAUAGGAUUUUCCUCAACAUUAUAAACAUAAUAGUCAGGGCCAAAAUCUUUUUCAACUCUA